UCAGCAAUCAAUUUCUAAUCAUCUGCUGCCUUCAUACAAAUUUCCUAACUAUUUCCAGUAUCAAUCAAUUGAUUUUUUUGGUUUAUUUUCGUUUGCCCUAAUAAUUUUCUCUCGUCAAAAUCUUGAACCAAACAUAGCGGAACAAUUGUACUGCCACUCAACUGAUAAUACCAAUCAUGGCGGACGGAAACCCAGAUGACAAUCAAGAUGAUUCCACUGCAGUAGGCAUAUCCGGCGACGCCGCCGCUGUAAGCCGCGACAAGCUCGACGAUAUAACUGCAAGUAACUCAAAUUCUGCUGUGGCGGAGGGUUUAUACUCUUUGAUUUCAUCUGUACUGACGGGUUUCGAUUCUAGAGCAGAAGCGACGGCUCGCAGCCAAGACCAACUUGCCUUCACCCUCGAUCGUCUUACCGGAGAGCUUGAUAAAUUGCUUGAGGAUGCACCAUCGCCAUUCAUUAUGCAGCAUGCUGCAAGGAUUUCUGGUGUUAGGAAAAGGGUCAAAGCAUUAAAUACUGUUUUGAAGUCCGUACAGCGACGAAUUGACAAUAUGGACCGCAUGCUGUCAGCCGGGUUAUCACAUGAAAAAUUGGUGGGAGAAAGCGGUGGGCAACAACAUGCUUUAUAAUCAAGGUGAACAUGAGAAUAUGGUUUCCCGACUUUUUUUCAGUUUCAAAAAGGUUCAUGCAUCACAUUGCCAGCAGCUUGGACAGACUGCAAAGAUUUUCUUUUCGGUAGAGGCUUGGGGCAUUUGAUUUAGUGGUCUAACUUUGGCGAAAAUGUGCAGUUAGCCUAUACAUGUAUGGAGAACCAUCAAAUGUUGAACGGUCAAGUUUUUGACCUGGUACAAGUCUGAAGUUGCAACGGUAACUACUAACUAGAUUCAUCCAUAAGAACUUCCUCUAUUUGCUUUUUUCAUUGUUCUUGGAAAAAUCUUAUCGGAGUUCGAUUUUGUUGACUAUGAGUAUAUAUAUAUUAACCCACUGAUCUCAAAACAU